UAUGAGUGGCGAACGGGUGAGUAACACGUGAGUAACCUGCCCUCUUCUUUGGAUAACGCCCGGAAACGGGUGCUAAUACUGGAUAUUCACUGGCCUUCGCAUGGGGGUUGGUGGAAAGGUUUGUUCUGGUGGGGGAUGGGCUCGCGGCCUAUCAGCUUGUUGGUGGGGUGAUGGCCUACCAAGGCUUUGACGGGUAGCCGGCCUGAGAGGGUGACCGGUCACAUUGGGACUGAGAUACGGCCCAG
rnacentral:rRNA from 1 species